rnacentral:lncRNA from 1 species
CGGGGAGCCGCGGAGAUACUCGUCGCGGCGGGUGGGCCCCCGAGCCGCGCCUGGCGGAGGCGGACGGCGCGAAGGGCAGCGGCAGCGCUUCGCCGCCGCCUUGAGGGACUGCGCGCGGCCUUGCUGUUUCCCUGCUGGCGAAAGCCGAGACAAAAGGUGGUAGGUGACAGCUGGAAGCACUUCACAGGACCCUGCUGUCCUUCAGAACCCGAUGACUCAGCUCAGACUAUUUCUGUAUCCAGAGAUGGGAGUGAAGAUGUAUCUGAUGCAGCUUUAAACCUGUCAUCUUUGGUCAAAUUCGCUGUUUAGAAUGACAGUAUGGUACUCCAUAUGGUCAACAAAAUCUGUCAGGGAGUUUUGGUAGACAUUCAGCUGCUGGUUCCCAUUGAAGCCUGGGCUGCUAUAGAGACGUUCCUAUCUGUACCUGAGCUUCCUAAUUUAAAGUAGUUAUGUCUGUAUCAAGCACACCCACUCUGGUCUCAGUUUAGAUACAGAACUGUCUCACAAGUUAACUAAACCUGGUUAGAGCAAAGCAGUAGUCUUUGCCUAAAUUAACUGAUUGGAUUUAGAAUUGUGUGGGAGCCUAGUUUUAGCACAACAUGGUACAUCAUGGAAAAAGGAAGUGUCACAUUGUCCUCAUGAGAUUCUGGUUUGAGGUAAUCUGCUUUUUUCCAUUUUCUGGUGUAUGUAAAAGGGAAGAUAAGGGUAGAGGGAAAAAGGAAAGGAUAAGUGAUGAGAUCUUCAAUCUUAAUUCUAUCCUAUCACCAUUGCCUGUGCAUCAGAAAGGGUAAUAGCUGCUGUGUUGAGCAGAAGGCAAACUGCCAAGUGAUUGCCUCUUAGCGAUAGAUCUGCUUUCUUCCUGAAGCAACCAGGGGAUUAAAAGGUUGGGAUUUGGAGUAGAAGAAAUGCUUCUGCCUCUUUUGCUGUUAUGAGUUGUAGAUGGGUCAUAUCAGCUAUCAUGUGAAAGUUACAAAAGUGUACAAGCAGUUUUCUUCCUUUUUCAGGUCCUGAAAGAGUUUUCUACCCUAAUAUACCCUCCUUUUUCCACUGUGUUAGUUGCUCUGGUGAAUACCACCCUUCCCUAUGGCUCUCACCUAAGCUAUGUAUACGUAUGUCAACAGUUUAAGGGCUGGUUUAGCCUGGUUCCAUGACUAAUGGGGUAGGGGGACCCACGGACCCAUGCCCCAGGAAAAAGGAAUGGAGAAAAAAGUAGUGAAAUGGGCCUAAAAACAAGACAGUGGCAACAAUCUGAGGAGGAAAGCUAAUUUACUGAAGAAAGAUAUUGGAAUGCAAGAUAACACAAUAUAAUGCAAUAUAAUUGGAGUUGAAGCUAAUAAAUAAAAUGAGAGAGUGUGUCCAAAAACCGAAGGCCUUACUCUAGUGCUGAAGGCAAGAUGUCUAGCUGGGACAAACAGAAAGGCGAAAGUGAGGGACAUCUUGUGAUAUGCAAACAGUUUUAUCUCUCCCUCUGAAUGGAAAACGGAAACAGAACAACGCAAAGUCCUCUGGGGUAUGUUGUAUGUCAUCGUUGUUCUCUUCUGAAAACCAGGUACCCAGAACUAUCCACGGACCUGGAGUGUUAACUCUUUAACUCUCAGUGCACUACAUGAUGUUAGGAUAUGGAAUACCAAUAACAAAAAAUCAUAAAACCAUGAAACAUGCUACAUCAGCAGAACUGUGGUAUUCUGGGAGUAGUUGCAUAUAGAGCGAGGGCUUCUCCUUGUAUAGCUCUGAUGAUGAAAGAUCACCUCUUCACUCAUCAAGCGCAAUAAAGUUCACACCUACUAUACUUUACAUUUGUUUUACUGAUUCCCUAUAAGCUUGCUUAGAGGCUCUGCUGUUGCACAGAUAUUUAUUUAGAACAUACAUUAUUAUAAUUAACUAUGCUGUGUUUCAGUUUAUAUGUUAGCCAGAAACCACCCUCCUGCAAUUUUUUGACGUAUUUUGCAUGUUUUUAAAGUAUUUUUAAUAUAACACCAUUACCAAAAGUAAAGAACUUUCUCAGUGUAGCCUAGCUGUUUAAUUUUUUUUUCCCCUAUAGGACUUCAAUUGCUUAAAGGCAGUUGGUGCUGAUUUCCUUAUCUGCUCUGAAGGAAAAAAAAGGUGUUGUCAGAAAGAUCAAAAAGAGCACAAUAAUGCUAUUUGAUAGUGCAAAUUCUCAGCUACAAAACACUGUUUUUUCAACAUAGUCACCUUCAUUAGUUAUGCAUUUUUGUCAGCGAUGAACAAGAGCCUGCAUGCUAUGCUCAUGAAAAUCUGCACCGGUGGAGGUGACCACUGCUACCAGUGCUAAAGUGCACCACCCACCAUCUCGUUGUUUGGUCUCCGUAAAUGUUCAGCAGUUGCUGACGAAUGUCAGUGGGUGCCAUUGUUUCCACAUGGAGAAAUUCAGUGCCACACCUACGCUUCAAGCAUGCUUUUAUAUCAGACGACUGCAGCCCCUCUGCUGCCAUCUGUCACAUGGCAACAAAUGUAAAGAAUAUUGGUGGGAAGGUUCAACCUCUACUGCCAUACCACCAACAGCUGCUUCUGAUGUGGGCCAACAUAAUAAGAGGCAUUACUUUUGGAGCAGCCCUCAUAAAAUACCUCUGAAGAAAUCUGGCCUCAGGCUGAAAAAAGUCCCAUAGGUUAUGGUUAUUUCCACUCUAAAAUAAAUAGUGAAGGUUUCAUAACAAGGUGUAGGUGUAAAAAGCAUUAUUGAUCACCGCUGGAAUAUGUUUAGCCGUAACACCGUGCAUCUAACUGUAAAUUCCCUAACUGGACAUUUAUACAUCAGAGAAGUCAGGUAUAAACAUGAUAUAUUGAACUGCAAUUAUGUUACAAAAUAGAAUCACUAAUCAGGUACAUUCCCUUAGAAAACUGAGAUUAGGGACAGGAAAUAUCUCCCAUGUCUUUAUAUAAAAAUAAUUAGUUUUUCUCUAAUGGCUUGUUAACAGAAGCAUUUAAGGCCUGUAGUUUUACAGGUAUUGUUUAACUGGUAUAAUUUCAUCUGUUAGAAAGGCCUAUUUUCAUAUGUUUAGAUACUAUGAAGAAAAGGAUUGUCUGUAGUAGGGUCAGACAUUUUUAUGCCAGUACAAUUCCAUUUUCCCUGUUACAACUUUCCUAACCCUCCAAACUUCAUAGCUAAGUAGAAUAAUUAUAGUUGCACAAACAACUGUCCAAAGCUUAAUGAACUACAUAACCACUCUUCACCAGUUUCAGCAAUAAAGGUAUGUUUAAACAUCUUUCUUAGUAUAUGAUUUGUUUAUUUGUAUUUUCAGGGCAGCUUUCCUAUUUAAAAUAAUAUUCACUGACACCUUGACAUAUUUCUGUUGUUCAACUUGUUUGGCUUCUGGGGUUUUCUUAGUAAGUUUUGGUGUAAGUAUUUUUCCCUUUUAUUUUUUGUAUUUGUAUAUAUGACCAAUCUACCUGAUGCUUCAUAACUUCUUUUCUGAGGCAAAUAAUAAAACACAGAAAGGAAAAAAUGAUGUUCUUUACUCUUUGUGUAACACAUACCUAAAUGCAGUCACUGAGAUACAACAGUCUCGGGUAAUGGAAAGAUACCAUAAUAUUCCUACCAAAGGAUGCUUCUCUGCUUACUGUACUAAGUUUAAAAAUGGUGAAUGAAUUAAUAUUUUAAAGUAUGAAAUUCAGAAGAUAAUGAGAAGUCAAGGAGACUUUUCCUUUUGACUUCAGUAGGUCCUAUCAAACUUGUGUUUGAAGUUUUUCCAUCCAUUAUUUUCUUUCUUUUGAUGUAAAAAUGUCAUCUAGCUGCAUGUCUUAAUUAAGAAUAAGUAAAUGUAAGGAUAAAGUUUAGCUUUGCUCUGAAGUAAUUAUACAAAUGCAUGUGGUCCUGUAAGUAUGGUGUUGACUUUUUUUUAUGUUGACUCUAUCAUGCUUAGAAGUCCCACCACCUGACAGAGAGUAAUCUGGCACAUACACAGGAAGAAGAGACCCUUUAUUCUGUGUAUUUCCCAUGAUUAUUUGAAACUAAUUCUCUUUUUACUGAUGUUGUGUACGCAUUGAAUCCUUAAAUUUUUACAACGAGGAACUUAGUUUAUCACAUCUUAUCCCCCAUUUUUACCAGUGAAACAGUGACUGAAGGAAACCGCUGUCCUCAGCUGAAAAUACAACAGGUUGUAGGUUUUUAUUGUUCAACUUUCUAUAUAUGGAAAACAAAGAGUUUAGAAUCUUGCUGGCCAGCUGGGCUGAUUGUUCAAAAGCCAGAGAUUCUGUUACAUAUAUCUGAGCUAUGGGUCAUCUCCUUUUUAAUGUCAUACAAUUAGCCAGUACAUUUUUAUUCUGUUACUGGUAAUAUUAAACAGGAUGUGACCAAAAUUAUCUCUUUGUACUGAACAUUGUAGGAGUUAAACUUGUUGCUAAUUCUUCAGUGGUGAUUGCAUGUGGAGACCCUUCUCUAGCCCAUUUCAGCUUAUAUAAUUGGCUAAUGUGUACCAUGGUGGUAGUCAAAAGAGGUUCUAUUAAGCCUUGAAGAAGUCUCGGCCAAGCUUAUAAUUAUAUCUCCCCAUUAUUAUAACUUUCUUAAUUCUUAGCUAAUCGUGUUUGAGUGUCAACAAUCCUAUUUGCCAAGCCUCCGUACCUACAAUUAUCCAGGUCAUCUGAUCUUAUUUAUUGACUAAGUUUUGAAACAUUCAUUUUCAUUUGUUUUAUAUCACUAUAAAACAUGGACCUGUUUUCCAGGUUUAUUGAAAAACUGUCCUUUUUUAUCAAUCAAUAGGGAUUAGUAAUCUCUACUGAAAUCAUUCUGGCAGAUGUGCGUAUUACUAUGUGGAUUACUUUUGUGUAAUGCUUUUUGUCUUUUCCUAAAAAGAAAAAAAUAAAACAUUUCUCACAGUACGAUAUACAUGCAUUCCUAAAGGUCAUUCUCCUAACCAAUGUGUAGACUGUCCUAAAUAUUCUUCUUUCUUACUGAAGUUUACUUUUACUGCUUGUGAAAUGCCAGCUCCCUGCUACUCAGUUGGUGUUUAUUGUGUAUUAGUAUCGUUAGGCUCAACCUUGUCUCAGGAAAUGUGUGACUAUUGUGCUUUGACUUUGCAAAACAGAGCUACAGCUAUUAAACUGCAAUUUUUAAGGAAACUUGAUUACCAGAAGUUCCUGCUUUCCACUUAGCACAGAUUUAGCUCCUAAUAAUUAAAUUGAUUCCUGUUGUUUAAAUGCAGGUUUGUAUGAUCUCUCGUAUGUUAGUGACAGACAUGUUCAUAUUUUAAGCAAAAUUCUGUCUGAUGCAGAUCAUACUUUCAUACCAGAAAAGAAAGAGAGGCAGAAAGGAGAUGAAAAGACGCCUUGUCUGUCAGUGCUGCCUUCUUUUCUAUCAUCUGCAUGAGGGAGUACAAAGCAAAAGUAAAGUGUCAGUACGUUUACAUGACCUGCAUUCAACUUCUCCAGUCUAGCAGAAACUCCGAUACAACUGUAAGUAUGGUUUAUUUUUACUCCUAGCACACAUAAUAAUAAUAAAAAAAAAAGUAAGAAUGAUUGUGGUUUCAAUUUGCAAUUGCUUUUGCUUUUGUAUUAUAUUAAUUUUCCUACUUAGUUAAGUCUUAACUGAAACAAAAGGUAUUAUUGUGAUUUUAGUGUUUCAUUAGAGGUUCAUAGAUUUAUUAAUGUUUCAUCAACCCACCAAACUUAUUGUGGUUGCAAAGUUAGGCUUCAACACUGGUAGAAAUGGUAGAUUCUGUAGUUUUCUGUGCUUAUAAAUUAAAAGAUUUUUUGUUGUUGUUACAAGCAUUUUCUUGGACUCAUUGCCUUAUUUCCUGGGUUAGAGCCCAAACAAUUUAAAUGGGUGUUGAAGGGCAGCAGUUCAUCUGGUGGUUACAAACUUCUAAAUAUUUGUCCUUGCGAGGUAAUUUUAUUUUCAUGUACUAUACAUAUCCUAUGUAAUAUUUGCUCUUUAUUAUAUUUGCUAUAUUUCAUAUGUAUUAUUGCUAUAUAUACAUUAAUAUUAGAUUGGUUUCAGUGGCAUAAAAUCGGUAAGGUCGUAUGUGGAACAAAGAGCAGACGGUGGCUGAGAGGCUGUUAAUGAACAUUGCUGUUAAGCACUAAGAUUUCCUCGCUGUUGUCCUGCCUCGUCCUCAGCCCGUAUUUAACGUCACACACAUCCUUGCAUGUUCGUGUUCUCUGAAUCAAUCAAUGCCUGCGUACAGCAGACCAAGAAC